rnacentral:rRNA from 1 species
GGGGAAGGGGAUCAUUA